rfam:Nannochloropsis gaditana CCMP526 unplaced genomic scaffold scaffold710, whole genome shotgun sequence.
AAGACUAUACUCGAACAGAAUCAGUUCUAUAGUAUAAUCUCCUCUGUCUGUACUACACAAGUCAGACAACCCUUCCAACUUUGGUGACGAGAAGAGGUCCAGUCACGGAAACGUGACAUAUGCACUUCCUUCCUAUUCCGAGCCCUUCGGAGCCCGGUGGAAGAGUGCUGGAAGACCGUCCCCCUCAGGAGUGCCCUCGUGGCCGAUGAAGGGUGAGUGACAUGGACGGACAGAAAAGUU